UACGGAGGGUGCAAGCGUUAUCCGGAUUCACUGGGUUUAAAGGGUGCGUAGGUGGGUUGGUAAGUCAGUGGUGAAAUCUCCAGGCUUAACUUGGAAACUGCCAUUGAUACUAUCAAUCUUGAAUACCGUGGAGGUCAGCGGAAUAUGUCAUGUAGCGGUGAAAUGCUUGGAUAUGACAUAGAACACCAAUUGCGAAGGCAGCUGGCUACACGAAUAUUGACACUGAUGCACGAAAGCGUGGGGAUCAAACAGG
rnacentral:rRNA from 1 species